GAUGAACGCUGGCGGCGUGCUUAACACAUGCAAGUCGAACGAUGAAGCCCAGCUUGCUGGGUGGAUUAGUGGCGAACGGGUGAGUAACACGUGAGUAACCUGCCCUUGUCUCUGGGAUAAGCCGGGGAAACUGGGUCUAAUACUGGAUAUGACUUCUCAUCGCAUGGUGGGGGGUGGAAAGAUUUAUUGGUCUUGUAUGGACUCGCGGCCUAUCAGCUUGUUGGUGAGGUAAUGGCUCCCCAAGGCGACGACGGGUAGCCGGCCUGAGAGGGUGACCGGCCACACUGGGACUGAGACACGGCCCAGACUCCUACGGGAGGCAGCAGUGGGGAAUAUUGCACAAUGGGCGCAAGCCUGAUGCAGCGACGCCGCGUGAGGGAUGACGGCCUUCGGGUUGUAAACCUCUUUCAGUAGGGAAGAAGCGAGAGUGACGGUACCUGCAGAAGAAGCGCCGGCUAACUACGUG
rnacentral:rRNA from 1 species